ensembl:lncRNA
UCUUUUAAAUUCUUGCAUUUUAGUAAGAAAGCUACCUUUUUAUGGAUGUUAGCAGUUUAUUGACCUAAUAUUUGUAAAUGGUCUGUUUGGGCAGGUAAAAUUAUGUAAUGCAGUGUUUGAAACAGGGGAAUUUUUCUUCCUUUUUUUCCUUUUUUCCUUUUUUUUUUAAACUGUAUAAUGUCCCUCAAGUUAUGGCAGUGUACCUUGUGCCACUGAAUUUCCAAAGUGUACCAAUUUUUUUUACUGUGCUUCAAAUAAAUAGAAAAAAAUAGUUAUGAUAUUGAUCUUCAACUUUGCCAUUCAUGCUUCUAUAGCACAUUAGGCUAGGUAUUCCACUUGGAAAGCAUAAGAGUGUCUAGGCCUUUGAAUGGCAUAUGCCAUUUCUGGGAAAUGUAUUUGUAGGCUGAGUAUUGCUUUCUACAUAUAAGUGCCCCCCUUGUUUUAAAAAGAAGAAAUGCACAUUGAAGUAGUUCCAUGAUUUGUUGGCGUUACAGGAAGCAAGCCGGUGCUAAGUAUUUUUAAAUGGCUAUGUAAGCAAAGCUGAUGAACUGUUAAUCUUCAUUCAGGAAUGUGUACAAGAUUAUAGAAUGGGUGUAAGAUUGUUGGUAGGGGGAGAAAGUGGGUAUGACUCAAAUGGAUCUUUUAUGGCCCUAUGAUCUAGCCUUUCCUUGAAAGUUUCUGAAGAAAAAGUGGAAAUAUCAUUUUGUUGCAUUCCUCCAUUCUUGUUUUUUAAAGAAUAAGUCCCAAGCCCUCCAAAUGGCUUGUAUCAAACUUUCACAUUUGAAUUAAAGAUUGUUAAACAUGAAGUCUUUUCAUGUAUUACUUCAAGUGAUUUAUAAAGAUGGAGUUUAGUCUGAAAAAUUAAACUCGGAAGUAAGUGGAGUAAUCAUAAAGUAGGUUUAGUUACAUACAAAUUUGUACUCUGUAACUUUUACAUCUCCUUGUGCUACUUCUGUUGGGCAAAAUCUGUAGGACUAUGAAAAACUUUAAGAGCUGGUGGUGACUCAUUAAUAAUAGGCUUACAGAGAACCAUUCUUACUGUGAAAUAUUUUUUUAACCAGUUUUUUUCAGUUUACUUUUGAUGUAGCACUAAAUCUGGAGAGAGUUGAUCAUGCUACACAGUACAAAUACUUCUUCCACCAUAAAGCUUUGGAGUGCUUCGAUGGUGGUGUCAGUUUAUCGCCAACUUCAUUGACUCUCCUUCCAUUGGAGCCAUUUUGACUUAAUAUUAAAGUAGAUUGUUACUGUUGUCUGUAGUACAGAGGGAAUCUGCUUCCCCAGUGUAUAUAUUGUUAGCAGAGGAACAACUUCCUAAAAGUAGUAGGUAAAGUAAUUGAAUGGUUUGGCUUUGUUCUUAGUUAUGUUUCCAUUCAAAUUUGUACAUUAUAGAACUCUUACUAUGGAAUGUGUCUUCCUCCUUUUCACCUCUGUUGGUGUUAAUUGGCAAAAGUAAAAUUCUAAAUCAACUCUUUGUUAAAAUGCUGAAGGCUUAGUAUUGUGCCUGAGUACAAAGGGAUACCUUUUGCUGAAACAAUUGAGCACUUUGUGCAUAGGAAACCUGAUAAUUCUAAAAGUAAAACUCUAGUGGAGUAUAAAGGCAUGCAACCAAAUUCUGGUUGUGUGACAGACAGGUAUCUGGUGUGCUAAUUAAGGGAGAAUCUAACUAGAAAAUGUUCAUUACUUUAUUCACCAAGACUCUUGGAAAUGGGUGGUUCGACCAUAAUUCUGUCAAUGAGGAAGUUUUGUCCCAAGUCAUUAAUUGGUGAUAAUGUAUGAGAUUUUUCUGUACCGUAAACAAGGGUCUUGAUUUGAAAGGAGUCCAUUACAAUUUGAUUGAAUUGUAUGGUAGGGACUCCACUAAUGAUAAGAAAAUAAGGGGUGUUCAUGGGACACCCACAGAGGGUGAACUUGAAUGUGUGUGGGUGGGGGCUGGUGGGAAAGUGGGAAAUCUGCCUAUAAAAUUAAUGUUUCAGUUUAUUUUUCAGAUUACAUGCCUUUCUUUAUAAGGGAUGCUGGCACAGACCCCUAAAAUAAGUUUUGGUAGUAUUGUACCUUUGAAGAGUGGUGAAGGAUGCUAAUGGAUAAUCUCCUGAAAGUUGUGGUUUUGAAAGCCUUAGACUGUGUAGAAUUGCUAAACAUUGUUUAGCAAAUAAUGUUGGCUUAGUUUCCACUAAGUAUUGACUUUUCAUCACUGAAACAGCAGUGUACCAAGGAUUGUAAGCUACUCAAAUAGACUUUCAACAAGUCUUGGAUAUGAUAGUUUUUAGCCUAAUGUGAAUUAAAUCAUCUUAAAAAGUAGUUUCCUAAAAGCUGAUUUAUGGAACUUGGGGUGGGAAAGGGAAGGUAGUACUUUUGAAGUAUUUUAGCCAUUUUUCUCAUUUAAAGAAAGACCUGCCCUCAUUUCCUCUUCUCUACUUUCUCUCAUAAUUUUGUUUUAAGAGGAACAGAUUGUUUUUAAACUUACUACUCCUGAUCUUUACAUUCUCUGAGAGAUCCCGGGGUAUUUAGUAGAUAUUUUAGAAACUUAACCCAUUGGCUUACCUUUAGUGAAACCAUAAUCCUCUUUGUUUAGCAAACUUCUAAGAGAAGUGCUAUAAACCACACCACUCUUUACUAGAUGUAUUAUACCACUAAUAUAAACAGAUAAUAAUUUGGGAAAUUGUAAUGUUACGCCUGUGCAAUUUUAUAAGUGGCAUAUUAUGGCAGAUAAAAAUCUAGAUACUUGGCUUUUCUUGGGCAAGCCACUAAGUUGUGGCAGAAUAUUUUCUGGUGUUCUUGGACUGCAAUUAUGCACUAUUAAAGUAGUGGCCUGCUACAUAACUGCAUUUAGCCAGCAUUUCUGCAGUGCGUAACUGUGAGGAACGUAGUACCGCAAAUGGCAAUGGACAUUAGGACCCGGAUGUAGUAUUCCUGCUUGCUCCGAGAUUCUCAUUGCCGACUGCAUACAGGUAGGUAACAAGCAAUAUAAUCUAACUUGGUGACUUGAUAUGUACUUUAUUCCGUGGGCAUUCUGACAUCAUACUUCUGACAAUGAAAUUACAGUGCAGCACCUAACACUUGUAUGAUAAAGCUAGCUUAUAUCAAAACUGCGUGGGUUUGGGUGUAGAGCUGUAAUCUGUCAGGCAGAAUUCAGUGUGUUGCAGUUCUCAGAUAAAAAGUGCAAACUGGAAUAUUUGGUACAUCUGAUUCAGUUGUGUGGUUUUCCUUAGUUGCAUUGUAACUGAAGAUAACAUGGAACACGUCAGUGGUGUGGGGGAGAGGGAACCAUACCAUACUUGGAAAGUAGAAUGCUUUCAGCAUCUUGACACAGAUUGUAGCAUGUGAUAAUUAGUCUCUCUUGUAGCAAACUGACCUGCCCAUGGGUCAGCAAUGUCGAUAAUUUCACAGUGUAACCUUGGUAAUUACUCUACAGGUUGAGUAAUUAAGAUGAAAAGUACAGUGGUUUUGUUUUUUUGUUUGUUUUUUUUUUUUUUUGCAGUGUGAUUUUAGAAAAUUUUUAAAAUGGGCUCUAGUGGGAACACUUGUUACUAACUUGGACAUAGAUGGGAAUCUAACAUGAAUAGUUAAAGCUCUGUGAUUUACCUAAAUACAUAUCUACUCUAAACCUGGGGAAAAGUGGUGUGGCAUGUUGACUUGCCUAUUGAAUCCAUGUUGGGAAUCAUUUCCCAAUCGUAAGACUUCGUCGUAUUCUGUAGGGUAACUGCAAAUGUUCAGAGUAGCUUUUUGAAUUUGGUUCCCUUAGCUUGAGGGAUGUGACGUUAUAAUCCAAAAUGUUUAAUUAUGAAAACAGUAGUAAGUCUUCAAAAGCAUCUUCCUUUGUUGCUUAGGAUUUAAACUUUGCAUCGACUGUUGUUCCAGACCUCAAUUCAGCUGAACUUUUUGGUCUAUGAACUGGUUUUUAGCUACCAUGCAUGAGAAACAGCUUUCAUAAUGUUUUCUGCUCUGUAACUGAGAAGUUUGGUUUACUUUGCAUAAAUAUUGGUGAAACUCUUCAUGACUGAGAAUUUUCUUUCAUUAUAUCAAGAAAAAUGACUUGCCUUUUGGCAAGCAGUUCACAAGGUGGGGACAAAUUUGUGCUUAAUAUGUAGUCCAUUCAACCAAGUGACUUGGUUCUCCUGCUAGGUAAAAGAGCAAAUGGUGACUAGUUUAGCUCUCUAUAUUAGUAACACAAUGCACAUCAAACAAUACUCAGUGACAUUCUUGACAUUCUGCAACCCUGAUAGGGUUUUUCCCAUGGGAUAAUCCAUUAUGGUGGCCAAUAAUUGCUACCAUGGUUCAGUGAUUGUUUAGAAAUAAAAGGUCAGAUUUAUUUCUUAACAGUCAGUAACAAUCUUGAGAGAAUGUACUUGUUAAAAUACAUAUAUGGACAUCAUUCGGGUGGGGGGUUAAUUUUGCUUCAUUCUACUUAUUUCAAGACGAAUAGGCUUUUGCACUUUCAAUGAGAAACCUGUGACUUAAGUUGAUUCUAACUAGGUUUGAUUUGUAAGUAGCUAUAAUUUGUGAAUCUUAGUGCAGAAGGUCUUUUUAAAAGAUCAGUCAAAAGGCUGGGGAUUAAGUGGGUUUCAGUAAUAACUCUAUACUGAGGUGCUUGCAUUGUAUUUCAUAGUCUUUUCUUAUUACAAACCAAAAUUACUAUUUUUAAUGAGAACGGUCUGAAGUUCAGAGGUGUGAUGCCAGAAUGUAUUUUCGUACUGUUAGGCCCUUGGAACAGAUACCGGUGCUUUAUGAAAGAUGAAAGAAAUGCAAUGGGUACUCUUCACAUAAGGUUGCAAAACCUACAAAGAAUGCUCAAUAGUCUCACUUUUCCCCAACGAACAGAUGCGUGUGACUAGUUUUGGACUUAUAACCUUAAUGGGGGUUGCAUGUUUCCUAUUGUUAAUCAUUGUCAGCUGCAGUGACAUGAUCCACAGUCCUGCAUUUACUGCCUUUCCCUUAAUGAUUUUGGACAGGUUCUAGAGAGCCGGGAUGUUUGCUCUGGGCCUUUACUUGGUUUUGGCUUUAGCUGAUACUGUUUCAGUGCUCUGUCAGCUAGUGCAGUUCCCAAAUGGCUGCCUCUUAGGCAAAGAACUCAGAGGAUUUGGCUGCUCCUAAUCAUCUGUCAUUGCUGCUAGAUAAUGAUUGGCAAUUUUUAAGACUCAACUGUGGAAAUCUCACAGUUGUUGGUAAACCAUCAAACAUAAAAAUGUUGCUUUUGAACACCAGUGCUGAAAAGAUUUUAUUUGGAGGGUGAAAAGGGGGAUGGAAGGCAGAAUAGAAUAAUCUGGAGAAUGGAGGAAGAAUGCAAAACGAUAUAGUAUCCCUUAUGGAUGGUACAUGUGCAACAGGGAACUGUUUCAUAUACCCUUGGCAGUCACUGAUAAUCAGGAAGGAAGAAAAACCUGGAAUUUGAGUUAAGGCUGAUCUUUCUGGUUUUUGUGCACUGUGGCCCUGCCAGAGAUAAUAUAGUGAAGGUGAAUGUCUUCUCCCUCAGAAAAAUUCAGGUUCCUUGCUGUCCUGAUAAGGCAUAGCUUCCCUGCCCUAAGUUAAAAACUCAGUGAGGACUUAAGAGGGAAAGAAUGAGGCCAAUACAUAGGAGUGCAGAUAACAACUGCAUUGUACUGUGGANNNNNNNNNNNNNNNNNNNNNNNNNNGAAGGUGGUCAGUCCACCUGAGAAUGGAAGACAUACUUGGUGGGGAGCAGGGUAUGUGCUUUUAUAUGAAAAGAGCCGAUGUUAAAACUCAUUUGGUGAGGUAAACGUUGUCACAUACCUUCACAUAAGGGAUAGUAUAUUUUGGGUUGCAGUCAAACUUCAUUGUGCUCAGACUGGUGAAAAUAGUAGUUAGGCUUUUGUGUUUUAAAAGAAGAAACAGCUCUCAUUCCAAUUCAGGUGUCUACAACUACCUUACGUCAGAAUGAUUUUAGAUUUUUUUUCCCCCCCAUAAAGUUUCUUCCUAUUUUUUAUGCUGUAACUUGCCCCCCAAUCUUUGUCUCUGGAAUUUUACUCUUCAAAUUUUGAAAUUAACUAGCAUUUUCACAUCUUUUUGCCCUUGUCUUUUAUAUUAACUUUUUCUUAUUAUUCUUUAGGUAAGAAUGAUUGAUGUUGGCUGAUACUGGAGUGUUCAUUCACUUGAGGUGGGUAAAAUAAUUGUUUUCAAGACAUCACACAGCAUGAAGUGAUCAAGAAAAGCCACAACCUGUUUAGACUGAUGAAGCUUCUAGGUGAACUGUGUCAUGAAAACCAGUGAGGAAGAAGGCAAAGA